rnacentral:lncRNA from 1 species
UGUUUUAUUAGAUCUAGUUAUACAGUGUGGCUAAAUAUCUGGCGACUGGGAACUGCUUGUUCUGAUUUCAUUAGCUCUUAGAUCAUAGUGCAUAUGAUGUCUGCCGGGCCAUAGGAUCAUGUUUACUUUUUUGGUACCCCCAAAUGCCCAGGGGUCAUAUGUGCCAAUGAACAGUGCCCCCACCUCAACCCCAAACUUGACCCCCACCAACACACUCACAUAUACACAUACCUAGCCAGGUAUCAAGCUGGCUAGGAACAGGCACAGUCGCUUUAUGAAGAGUUAAUUUACUGGAUAUUUAAAGAAUUCUUAAACAAAACCCAAGGAACACUGUACUCUUGAGCAGUUCUAAUAGCCUGCAAUUUCCUUGAAAACUUACCAAAGGCUAAAUAGCAACAGAGCAUUGGGCACUGAUGCCAGACCCCUUCUGUCAUGGUGAACGUGUUCAUGGAGGAGGUAUCUGCUUUAGGGGUGGUGUGUAGUGGAACUUAGUCAUUUUUCAAAGAGACUGAAAUGCAUUAUCCCAGUCUGCUCCUUGUCAGUGGGCUCA